GAUGAAUGCUGGCGGCGUGGAUAAGGCAUGCAAGUCGAACGAAGCCUUCUAUUGAGGACAGUGCGAUUACAUCAAGCUGUCCGAGACUGAAAGCUUAGUGGCGAACGAGUUAGUAACAUCUUGGUACGUACUCCGAUGUUAGGCACAACGGGUCGAAAGAUCCGCUAAUUCCUAAUGGUCCCGCAAGGGUAAAGUCGCAAGACGCAUCGGAAGCGGCCUAGAUCCUAUCAGCUUGUUGGCGGGGUAACGGCCCACCAAGGCUAUGACGGGUAGGGGUGUGAGAGCACGACCCUCAACGACGAAACUGAGACACGGUUCGUACACCUACGGGUGGCAG
rnacentral:rRNA from 1 species